rnacentral:lncRNA from 1 species
UUAUUUGAAGCACAAGUAAAAAUGGAAGAAAAGGAGGUGCAAAAAAGAGAGAAAAUGAACCAAAUGUCAAAGCCCAGUCCAAAACACAAAACGCAGGUGCCGUGCAUGUGACGGACGUCACAGAGGGCGUCACGAGCGUCACGCUUGCACACUCCUGUGACGGACGUCACACAUGGUGUGACGAACGUCACACCAUUCCCCUACAAUUUUUGGCGCAAGGAACGCCUCAGAGACGUUGAGCGUUGAGGGAGUGUUGAGCCCUAUAUCCACCGCCAUGCUUUAUGCACGUUGAAGACCUUUUGGCAGCGGAAGCGGUUACUCAAGCAUAUAUAAAUAGCCACUUGCAAAACCAAAA